rnacentral:lncRNA from 1 species
GUUGGCCUCAAGAGGGCAAGUGGGAGGCCGGCUGCAGGCGAUGAGGCAGCAGGAGGUGUCCCAGAUAACCUGCAGGGAGAGCCUAACCUGAUAGAGGUUUUCAUUCCUUUGUGUUUUUGAAAUCACUUUUGGCUGUGUGUAUGAGGCUAACUCUACUGGGCAAGUGUCCCCUAAAGCUGAGAUUUGUGAUGUUUUGGGCUUUUUUUUUUUUUUUU